UCCUUUGACGUUAGCGGCGGACGGGUGAGUAACACGUGGGUAACCUACCUAUAAGACUGGGAUAACUUCGGGAAACCGGAGCUAAUACCGGAUAAUAUUUCUAACCGCAUGGUUCGAUAGUGAAAGGNGGUUUUGCUAUCACUUAUAGAUGGACCCGCGCCGUAUUAGCUAGUUGGUAAGGUAACGGCUUACCAAGGCGACGAUACGUAGCCGACCUGAGAGGGUGAUCGGCCACACUGGAACUGAGACACGGUCCAGACUCCUACGGGAGGCAGCAGCC
rnacentral:rRNA from 1 species